rnacentral:rRNA from 1 species
AUUGAACGCUGGCGGCAUGCCUUACACAUGCAAGUCGAACGGUAACGCGGGGCAACCUGGCGACGAGUGGCGAACGGGUGAGUAAUGUAUCGGAACGUGCCCAGUUGUGGGGGAUAACUGCUCGAAAGAGCAGCUAAUACCGCAUACGACCUGAGGGUGAAAGCGGGGGAUCGCACGACCUCGCGACAUUGGAUCGGCCGAUAUCAGGUUAGGGAGUUGGUGGGGUAAAGGCCCACCAAGCCAACGAUCGGUAGCUGGUCUGAGAGGACGACCAGCCACACUGGGACUGAGACACGGCCCAGACUCCUACGGGAGGCAGCAGUGGGGAAUUUUGGACAAUGGACGCAAGUCUGAUCCAGCCAUGCCGCGUGCGGGAAGAAGGCCUUCGGGUUGUAAACCGCUUUUGUCAGGGAAGAAACGCUCUGGGUUAAUACCUCGGGGUAAUGACGGUACCUGAAGAAUAAGCACCGGCUAACUACGUGCCAGCAGCCGCCGUAAAAC